rnacentral:rRNA from 1 species
UGCUUGCGGGGUGCCUAUAAUGCAGUCGAGCGAACAGAUGAGGAGCUUGCUCCUCUGACGUUAGCGGCGGACGGGUGAGUAACACGUGGAUAACCUACCUAUAAGACUGGGAUAACUUCGGGAAACCGGAGCUAAUACCGGAUAAUAUAUUGAACCGCAUGGUUCAAUAGUGAAAGACGGCUUUGCUGUCACUUAUAGAUGGAUCCGCGCCGCAUUAGCUAGUUGGUAAGGUAACGGCUUACCAAGGCAACGAUGCGUAGCCGACCUGAGAGGGUGAUCGGCCACACUGGAACUGAGACACGGUCCAGACUCCUACGGGAGGCAGCAGUAGGGAAUCUUCCGCAAUGGGCGAAAGCCUGACGGAGCAACGCCGCGUGAGUGAUGAAGGUCUUCGGAUCGUAAAACUCUGUUAUUAGGGAAGAACAAAUGUGUAAGUAACUGUGCACGUCUUGACGGUACCUGAUCAGAAAGCCACGGCUAACUACGUGCCAGCAGCCGCGGUAAUACGUAGGUGGCAAGCGUUAUCCGGAAUUAUUGGGCGUAAAGCGCGCGUAGGCGGUUUUUUAAGUCUGAUGUGAAAGCCCACGGCUCAACCGUGGAGGGUCAUUGGAAACUGGAAAACUUGAGUGCAGAAGAAGAAAGUGGAAUUCGAUGUGUAGCGGUGAAAUGCUCAGAGAUAUGGAGGAACUCCAGUGGCGAAGGCGACUUUCUGGUCUGUAACUGACGCUGAUGUGCGAAAGGCGUGGGGGAUCAAACAGGAUUAGAUACCCUGGUAGUCCACGCCGUAUACCAUGAGUGCUAAGUGUUAGGGGGGUUCCGCCCCUUAAUGCUGCAGCUAACGCAUUAAGCCCUCCGCCUGGGGAGUACGACCGCAAGGUUGAAACUCAAAAGAAUUGACCGGGACCCCUCAAGCGGUGGGAUUUGGUGGUUUAUUUCCUAUCAACGCAAAGACUUUCCCGAUUUUGGCGUCCUCCUGCCCACUUUAGAAAUGGAUUUUCC